rnacentral:rRNA from 1 species
UACGAAGGGGGCUAGCGUUGUUCGGAAUUACUGGGCGUAAAGCGCACGUAGGCGGAUCGAUCAGUCAGGGGUGAAAUCCCAGGGCUCAACCCUGGAACUGCCUUUGAUACUGUCGAUCUGGAGUAUGGAAGAGGUGAGUGGAAUUCCGAGUGUAGAGGUGAAAUUCGUAGAUAUUCGCAAGAACACCAGUGGCGAAGGCGGCUCACUGGCUCGAUACUGACGCUGAGGUGCGAAAGCGUGGGGAGCAAACAGG